UACCAUGUUCCUAUAUACCAGCAGUUCUCAACCUGUGGCUUUUGAGCCCUUUGGGGGUCAAAUGACCCUUUCACAGGGGUCCCAUAUCAGAUAUUCUGCAUAUCAGAUAUUACAUUAUGAUUCACAAUGGUAGCAAAAAUACAGUUAUGAAGUAGCGCUGAAGGAUUUUUAUGGUUGGUGGUCAUCACAACACAAGGAGCUAUAUUAAACUGUUAUUGCAUUAGGAAGGUUGAGACGCGCUGCUAUAGACAGAUAGAAUGAGGUCCACUGAGUUAUAAUGUCAUUUCAUUCAGUGCAGCAGCAGCCAAUGGGUAAUGCAUCGCCUUUCUGCUUUUUGUCAGAAUUCUACCCAUGGCAGUUCCCUUCUCUUCACUAUUAUUCUCCGUCCUUUUCUUUUGCAAAUACCUGUUUUCAUGCUUUGCCAUUGAUGACAGACCUUGACUUGAAAUCAAGCUUUGUAUCUGCAGAAAAUCAAACAGCCUGUAAAUGUCUACUGAAUGUUAGGGUGUCAGUGAACUCUGAGAAACCAUAAUCACUCCAUUAGUAGGAACCUGGGAAGUCAGCUUGGAUUCUUCACUUAAGCAGUGAUGGUCCAUAUCACCUGUCACAUCCAAACUGACGAAGACCGAGACUCCAGGCUCAAUUCAAGAUUUGUGAAACAGAACCACCUGGUAAUACAUUCUAUGCUGUGCCAUGUUCUUCCUGGUGUCAAGUGUCCCACAGUGUCCAAUGUCAUCAAAUCGAGUUGUGGAAUGUGAGAUAUACAUUUGCUUCCUCCCCAGCCCUUGGCUGUCAAUAAUAAAGAAUGUGGGAACACCCCAUCCAAAUCUUUGUAAGGUUUUUAUUUCCCUUGGGUGAAUGUCCAGGAGUGGAAUGGCUGAACCAGACAUCAGGUUCAUAAAAUAUUUCAUAUGCAACAUCCAACCUGUUAUUCAGCCAUCAGCACGCUCUCCUCAAUCACUGUGUUCUUCAGAUCUACUGGUCAUAAAUGAAAACCGGUCCACCUUUGGUACCAUCAAGUGUCAGCUGUCUGCCCAUGUGUGUGCUGGCCUUCCUUCUCUGGCACCUCCCUUUUUUUUUUUUUGCUGGCCAAACUCUCUUCCUCUUGGGAAGGUACUUUGAUUGAAUAUACAAUAUAUUAUAAAGUCAUGUAAGGAGAAUUUAAGUUCUGCUAGGGUAUUCCUCCUUCAGACAGCUUUAUGUAUAAGAGAAGUACACUCUGAAGUAGACUUUUCGGUAUUUCCUUAUAGGCUUCAGGUAGACAAGUAUCUUGCAGAGGGUGGGGAGUAGAUA